rnacentral:misc_RNA from 1 species
UCCGGUUUAACACCGGCAGUCUCCCCAGAGUCCCCAACUUAAUGCUGGUAACUAAGGAUAAGGGUUGCGCUCGUUACCGGACUUAACCGAACAUCUUACGACACGAGCUGACGACAGCCAUGCAGCACCUGUGUCCGAGUCCCCGAAGGGAAAGCUACAUCUCUGCAGUUGUCUCGGCAUGUCAAGGGUAGGUAAGGUUCUGCGCGUUGCUUCGAAUUAAACCACAUACUCCACCGCUUGUGCGGGCCCCCGUCAAUUCCUUUGAGUUUUAGCCUUGCGACCGUACUCCCCAGGCGGGGUACUUAAUGCGUUAGCUUUGGUACUCAGGAGGUUAACUUCCCAAACACCUAGUACCCAUCGUUUACGGCGUGGACUAC